rnacentral:rRNA from 1 species
GCUCAGGACGAACGCUGGCGGCGUGCCUAACACAUGCAAGUCCGAGCGAGGGAUUUAUGACGGAUUCCUUCGGGAUGAAGACAUAAAUCACCUAGCGGCGGACGGGUGAGUAACGCGUGAGGAACCUACCUCCUACAAGGGGAUAGCCUCGGGAAACUGGGAUUAAUACCCUAUGACACUUAAGGAUCGCAUGAUCUUUAGGUUAAAGCGAUAUAGCGGUAGGAGAUGGCCUCGCGUCCCAUUAGCUAGUUGGUGAGGUAACGGCUUACCAAGGCGACGAUGGGUAGCCGGCCUGAGAGGGUGAACGGCCACACUGGAACUGAGACACGGUCCAGACUCCUACGGGAGGCAGCAGUGGGGAAUAUUGCACAAUGGGCGAAAGCCUGAUGCAGCGACGCCGCGUGAGCGAAGAAGGCCUUCGGGUCGUAAAGCUCUGUCCUAUGGGACGAUAAUGACGGUACCAUAGGAGGAAGCCCCGGCUAACUACGUGCCAGCAGCCGCGGUAAUACGUAGGGGGCGAGCGUUGUCCGGAAUUACUGGGCGUAAAGGGUACGUAGGCGGCUAG